rnacentral:rRNA from 1 species
UACGGGGGGAGCAAGCGUUGUUCGGAUUUACUGGGCGUAAAGGGCGCGUAGGCGGUCAGCACAAGUCAGUUGUGAAAUCCCCGGGCUUAACUCGGAAAGGUCAACUGAUACUGUGCGACUAGAGUGCGGAAGGGGCAACUGGAAUUCUCGGUGUAGCGGUGAAAUGCGUAGAUAUCGAGAGGAACACCUGCGGCGAAGGCGGGUUGCUGGGCCGACACUGACGCUGAUGCGCGAAAGCCAGGGGAGACGGAACGGG